UUUUUCAUUUGACAUUUCUUUUCUUUAUAAAAGUUUCCAGCUCACCUUUUUAUAGAAUAAGAAUCCAACCCCUGGGACCGGAACUACUACUUGGGCUUCAUAUCAAAAAUAAGAUAUUGAAUUCGAAUCUUUAAAUUCCAAAUUGACGCAUAUUCAUAUUCAAAUUUCGCAGUCCUUUUCACGAACUUUCUCAAUUGGAAAUUUUGAAGUAUUUGGCUUGUGUUCUUUGAUUCGAUUCAAAAAUUUACGUUCUGGAGAAAUUUGACCUUUCCCAAUUAAUAAUUUGACACAAUAACAAAAUAACCAAAUAACUUAAAACUGGAUACCGAAUAAACAAAAAUAAACAAAAAUACAACAAUUAUCCACUCAUUCUCCGCGCUUUUUGGUAAACAAUAAAGACGGUCAUGUGCUGAACCUGAUUCGAUGGCGAAUGAAUAAUACCGGCCAGCGUUUUAUUUGUUGGCUUUUGUGGUCAACUCAAUUAUCGGCCAAAACGAAUAUUGAUGGGAACGCAAAAAAAGAAACAAACAAUAGACGGAUAACAACAUAAAACGUAAACUGGUUUCAAAUACCGCUACAGCAAAACGUUUUCUAUUUUGUCAUUUCUUCUUCUUCACUUUCAUAUCGGGAGAAGUGGUUGGUUGGUUGGGUGGCUUGUUUUGUGGUUUGAAUUGUUUUUUUACUUUUUCCCAAGUUUUGGGGAUUCACAGCACAAAUCAUGUGAAGCGUUUGUUAUUUGUCUGAACGUUUAAAGACACUUUUUUAAUGAGAUUAUAUUUCUAACGCUAUUUUUGUUUUUGCAAAAUUGAUUCCCUACGGUGUUUAAGGUAGACAUUGUAUGCACGGGUGUACACAUGUGUACAUACAUAUAAUAAAUGUGUGAUAUAUG